rnacentral:rRNA from 1 species
AUGGGUGCCGGCGGCGGGGAAGUAGAUCUAAGGCGGCGAAAGACAGUCUGGAGGCUGGAUCGCUGGUGUGCUGGACCCUUCUGUCGUUGGAGCAGCUGA